AUGCCGCGUGUAUGAAGAAGGCCUUCGGGUUGUAAAGUUACGUUUCAAGCAGUGAGGAAGGUGGGUAUGUUAAUAGCAUACUCAUUUGACGUUAGCUGCAGAAGAAGCACCGGCUAACUCCGUGCCAGCAGCCGCGGUAAUACGGAGGGUGCGAGCGUUAAUCGGAAUUACUGGGCGUAAAGCGCAUGCAGGUGGUUUGUUAAGUCAGAAUGGUGAAAGCCCCGGGGCUACAACCUCGGAAUUGCAUUUGAAACUGGCAAACUAGAGUACUGUAGAGGGGGUAGAAUUUCAGGUGUAGCGGUGAAAUGCGUAGAGAUCUGAAGGAAUACCCGGUGGCGAAGGCGGCCCCCUGGACAGAUACUGACACUCAGAUGCGAAAGCGUGGGGAGCAAACAGGAUUAGAUACCAGGUAG
rnacentral:rRNA from 1 species